UACGUAGGGGGCAAGCGUUGUCCGGAAUCAUUGGGCGUAAAGCGCGUGUAGGCGGCCCGGUAAGUCCGCUGUGAAAGUCCAAGGCUCAACCUUGGAAUGCCGGUGGAUACUGUCGGGCUCGAGUCCGGAAGAGGCGAGUGGAAUUCCUGGUGUAGCGGUGAAAUGCGCAGAUAUCAGGAGGAACACCGAUGGCGAAGGCAGCUCGCUGGGACGUGACUGACGCUGAGACGCGAAAGCGUGGGGAGCAAACAGG
rnacentral:rRNA from 1 species